AUUAAGCCAUACAUUAUGUCAUUCUAUGACAUAUUAAGCAUUGCCUGUUUUUCAAGGAUGGGCAGAACAAGGCAUUCUCACUGCAUCAGAUGUACUAGGAUAUGUAUCAAUUUAACGGUAAUUCCAGCUGAAAAAUGUUGAUGUACAGAAGACACACUGGUCAGCCCAGGAAUCAUGUUCUGUGAAUAGCAAGAAUGUUACUUGAGCCAAGGAAUCAUGUUCUGUGAAUAGCAAGAAUGUUACUUGAGCCAGGGAAUCAUGUUCUGUGAAUAGCAAGAAUGUUACUUGAGUCAGGGAAUCAUGUUCUGUGAAUAGCAAGAAUGUUACUUGAGCCAGGGAAUCAUGUUCUGUGAAUAGCAAGAAUGUUACUUGAGCCAGGGAAUCAUGUUCUGUGAAUAGCAAGAAUGUUACUUGAGCCAGGGAAUCAUGUUCUGUGAAUAGCAAGAAUGUUACUUGAGCCAGGGAAUCAUGUUCUGUGAAUAGCAAGAAUGUUACUUCAGCCAGGGAAUCAUGUUCUGUGAAUAGCAAGAAUGUUACUUGAGCCAGACACUGAAACUGUACUAGCCUCAUUGUUGUCUAGGUGGAAGUGACUGGGGUUGAAAUAGUUGUCUAGUGGGCAGCAGAAAUGGAACCCUAGCCGGACGCUAGAAAUGUGCUGACAUCGAAUUUGUCAAGGUGGAAGUGACUGUGGUUGGAAUAGGUGUCUAGUGAGCAAUAACAAUGGAACUCAAGUCAGACACUUAACAUGUACUAACCGCCCUCCUGUUGAGGUGGAACUGACUGUGCCUUUAAUAGUUGUCUAGUGAGCAACAUAAAUGGAACUCUAGCCAGCUGCUAAACAAGUACUGACAUCCAAUUUGUCUAGAUGGAAAUGACUGUGGUUGGAAUAGUUGUUUAGUGUGCAGUGGAAAUAGAACUUAAGUUCCUGUAUUGACCUCACUCCAGUUUGGGUGGAAGUGCCCGUGCUUGGGAUAGCUGUCCAGUCAAGAAUUACAAGCCAAAUCUUGUCAGGAAAAAAGAAGUCGACGCCGCAGGAACAACGAGUUGUGAUGAGUGAAUUUGAAAAAUAUAUGCAUCUAAACAAAUUGCCUGGGAAGUCCAAAUGCGAGAUAUUGCUAAAAGAAAACCCGUGUUUAAGUAGAAGAAGUUGGAGAAAUAUCAAAGACUUCGUUCGAAAUAAGACAAAGACAUUUAUCAAGCAUCAGGAAAAUUAAAACGACUGAGGAAAGAACAAGAUGCAAGAACAAGAUGCUGUAUAUUUGAAUGCUGUAACUGGCAAUUUGCAAAAGUGUUUUGGAAACAAUCCAAAACUGACGAUAUCAUUAUGUAACAGUAAACAAUAUAUAACACUUUUUAACAAACAUUUGUUGAUUAGGCUGUUUGAAAUUUUGAACUAUAAAGUUAUAUUGUGAAACGAAUUUUGUCCAUGUUUCAUAUUCUGUAGGGAAAGUAUCUUUUCAGAAAUGGAGUAUGCUCAAUUAUUAAUUUUAAUAUAAAGUUAAGUAAUCGCAGUCUCGUUGAAGACAUUUUAUAAACAUGUUUGGCGACCGUCAUUUUCAAUAAAAUAAACAUGUAUGUUUUUUAAUUGCGGUUAUCAUUAUGCUUUAGAUAUAUGCAACAGAAUUUCAAACCCUUUUGGGUAGAUGUCUAAAAAAGCUUUUCAAUUUAUUGUAGUAAAUUAGAAGUAAAAGCAAAAUUGUUGUAUUAUUUACUUUUUUAUAAUCCAAAUAUAUUGAUAGGAAAUAAAAGUUUUACUUUAAGUCAUGUUUUGAUGCUUGAAUUUUCUGUAUAGGUGAUAUAUUCAAAAAUGGAACCGUUAUUUCUGUAGAUGAAUUGAGUGAAAUAUACAGUUUAACAAUAAAUUUUAUUAAUUAUAUAGGGGUGACAAGAGCAAUAGAUAAAUUUGUGAACAAAUGUUGUUUUACCCUGUCCUACCCAACAAAUGAUAAAACCCCUUUUCCCCCAUUAUUACAUCUCAUAUUAAAAAACUAAUCUGGUGCUAAAAGACUAGAUAAUAUUGAUAAUAAGAACAAUAAACAACCUUCAGUUAAAGCAAAAUGGGGUAUAAAACUCAAUACCAUAAUUAAUGAAAAUGAAUGGAACUGCGUUUUUGAACUACCCUUUUUAAUAACAAAUGAUGUAAAGGUACAGUGGUUCCAAUACAGAAUAAUUCAUAGAGUACUUGGAACAAAUAGUCUUUUGAGCAAAAUGAAAAUAACAAAUGAUCCAUUGUGCUCCUUUUGCAAACAAAGUGAGUAAAAUUUAGAAUAUUUAUUUUGGGAAUGUCAGAUAUCUAAAACAUUAAUUGAUGAGAUAUAACCAGGUUAAUUGUUGCCUUUUAUGAAUAAGAAAAGUUUUCUACUUGGGUAUUUAAAAAAAGUCGGCGAUAGCCACAAAUAAUGUUAUUUUGUUAAUCAAGCUAUACUUAUACAAGUGUAAAAUGAAUAAAUUCAUCCCAAACAGGAGCCAAAAAACACAUAAAGUAUGAAUAUGAUAACUUAUAAAAAAUAGCAAUUUCAAAUAAUAAUACAGAAUCCUUUGUCAGGGAAUGGGUAUUGUUUACUACCAUUGUAGACCAAACUUAGUAUUUAAAUUUAAUUAAAAUUGUUCUUUACAACUUUUUAUAAAUAUGCGUUUUGUUUUGUUUUAACUCACAGGACCAUGUUGACAUCUUUAAAGAAAUUAUAGGUAGAACCUUUGUGUCAUAAAUCACAAUUACAUGUAUAUUUUUUGUUUUUUUCUAUACAUUUUUUUUCAUCUGCAUAUGCAAACACUAUUUGCUUACUAUAAUUUAUACACACAGGUACUUAAAAUAUUUAUGUACGCUGGUAAAUGUCCUUAUUUUGAAAAUGUACCUAUUUUUGCUUUUUUAAGCUUCCUAUUCAUCUGAAUUUGCAUAUACUAAUUUCUUAUUACAAUUAAUACAUACUUUUAAUAUGUUUAUAUACUGAAAUAUCUAGUUUUUUACUUUUGUUCUCUAUAAAUACUUGUUUAAUGUUUUUCCAACACACAAUUGCAUGCAACUGUCUUAUAGUUACAGCAUUUUUUAAACUCUGAAUGUCUGUUGACACGAAGCUGUGUUUUUUCUCUUGUAAAUAUUUGUUAUGUAAAAGCUAACAAAGACAUGAUAUGGUUUGUGAUUUUGUUUAUAAACAAAAGUAAUAUAUACACUCUUAAGAGUAUAAUGUAUAAAUUAUAUGAUAAGCUUUUGUAGAAUAUUUAAGAAAACAAUUAAACAUGGUCUAAGGCAUUAAGCGUUUGCUCUAGAUGCUGUGUAUUAUGUGUCAGUCAUUCUGUCAUCUAUGAUAAAGGUACGGUGUGUUUUUAUGCUCCCUGAUCGAAUGAUCGGGGAUAUAUUGUUUUUGGCCUGUCUGUCUGUCAUCCAUUCAUGGAUUCAUUCAUUGGGUGUGUCCCAAAACUUUAACGUUGGUCAUAACUUUUGCAAUAUUGAAGAUAUCAACUUGAUAUUUGGCAUGCUUGUGUAUCUCAUGUGGCUUCACAUCUUGAGUGGUGAAAGGUCAAGGUCAUCCUUCAAGGUCAAAGGUUAAAUAUAUGGCUUCAAAGCGGCGUAGUAGGGGGCAUUUUGUUUCUGACAAACACAUCUCUUGUUUUCAAACUUCUAUGCAAAUUGCUUUGUUUUUGUAUGUCGCUAUCUACAACCAUAUAUAUAUAAAGUAUGACACUGUGACAUUAAUCGUUUGCAUGUGUACUUUUGUAUGUCACUGUCUAUAAUUAUACGAGUCGUGUUCUGAGAAAACUGGGCAUAAUGCAUGUGCGGAAAGUGUCGUCCCAGAUUAGCAUGUGCAGACUGCACAGGCUAAUCUGGGACAACACUUUUCGCACAUGCAUUAUGCCCAGUUUUCUCAGAACGCGACUCAUAUGAUAGUUUGUGUUGCAUAUGUACAUAAAUAUGUAGCUGUUUUCCUGUCUUGUAAUAAAACGUGUGCGGAAAAAAAAUAUACAUGUAUGCAUGUACAUGUAUGUUGCUUUAUUAUGUCUUUGCACAUGUACUCAUGUGAACAAUUAUUUUGUACAUGUGUAAGAUGUGACUUCUAAAAUAAAGAAUAUGUUAUUCAGUA